GACAGAGGCCACGAACGUUGUUCGGAAUCACUGGGCAUAAAGCGCACGUAGGCGGCUGGGUCCGUCCGAUGUGAAAGCCCCCGGCUCAACCGGGGAAUUGCAUCGGAUACAGCCCGGCUUGAGGACGGUUGGGGUGAGUGGAACUCCUGGUGGAGCGGUGAAAUGCGUAGAUAUCAGGAAGAACACCCGUGGCGAAGGCGGCUCUCUGGGACGGUACUGACGCUGAGACGCGAAAGCGUGGGGAGCGAACAGG
rnacentral:rRNA from 1 species